GAUGAACGCUGGCGGCGUGCCUAAUACAUGCAAGUCGAGCGAACAGACGAGGAGCUUGCUCCUCUGACGUUAGCGGCGGACGGGUGAGUAACACGUGGAUAACCUACCUAUAAGACUGGGAUAACUUCGGGAAACCGGAGCUAAUACCGGAUAAUAUAUUGAACCGCAUGGUUCAAUAGUGAAAGACGGUUUUGCUGUCACUUAUAGAUGGAUCCGCGCCGCAUUAGCUAGUUGGUAAGGUAACGGCUUACCAAGGCAACGAUGCGUAGCCGACCUGAGAGGGUGAUCGGCCACACUGGAACUGAGACACGGUCCAGACUCCUACGGGAGGCAGCAGUAGGGAAUCUUCCGCAAUGGGCGAAAGCCUGACGGAGCAACGCCGCGUGAGUGAUGAAGGUCUUCGGAUCGUAAAACUCUGUUAUUAGGGAAGCACAAAUGUGUAAGUAACUAUGCACGUCUUGACGGUACCUAAUCAGAAAGCCACGGCUAACUACGUG
rnacentral:rRNA from 1 species